CCCGCACAAGCGGUGGAGCAUGUGGUUUAAUUCGAUGAUACGCGAGGAACCUUACCUGGGCUCAAAUGUAUGUUGACGUAUUCUGAAAGGGAUACUUCUUCGGACAAUAUACAAGGUGCUGCAUGGUUGUCGUCAGCUCGUGCCGUGAGGUGUCGGGUUAAGUCCCAUAACGAGCGCAACCCUCAUCAUUAGUUACCAUCAGGUAAGGCUGGGGACUCUAAUGAGACUGCCAUCGUAAGAUGUGAGGAAGGUGGGGAUGACGUCAAAUCAGCACGGCCCUUACGUCCGGGGCGACACACGUGUUACAAUGGGUGGUACAAAGGGCAGCUACCUGGCGACAGGAUGCUAAUCUCGAAAACCGCUCUCAGUUCGGAUCGGAGUCUGCAACUCGACUCCGUGAAGCUGGAUUCGCUAGUAAUCGCGCAUCAGCCACGGCGCGGUGAAUACGUUCCCGGGCCUU
rnacentral:rRNA from 1 species